rnacentral:tRNA from 1 species
AGGAUAAGGUGUUUGGGUAGCACGUGGAAUUUUGAAUUCUUAGGUAUAGGUUCAACUCCUAUUGUCCUAG